rnacentral:rRNA from 1 species
AUUGAACGCUGGCGGCAGGACUAACACAUGCAAGUCGAGCGGGGUUUUCGGACCUAGCGGCGGACGGGUGAGUAAUGCGUAGGAAGCUGCCCGAUAGAGGGGGAUACCAGUUGGAAACGACUGUUAAUACCGCAUAAUGUCUACGGACCAAAGUGUGGGACCUUCGGGCCACAUGCUAUCGGAUGCGCCUACGUGGGAUUAGCUAGUUGGUGAGGUAAUGGCUCACCAAGGCGACGAUCUCUAGCUGGUUUGAGAGGAUGAUCAGCCACACUGGAAUUGAGACACGGUCCAGACUCCUACGGGAGGCAGCAGUGGAGAAUAUUGGACAAUGGGCGCAAGCCUGAUCCAGCCAUGCCGCGUGUGUGAAGAAGGCCUUCGGGUUGUAAAGCACUUUCAGCGAGGAGGAAGUGUGGUGUGUUAAUAGCACAUCAUUUUGACGUUACUCGCAGAAGAAGCACCGGCUAACUCUGUGCCAGCAGCCGCAGUAACAC